rnacentral:misc_RNA from 1 species
AAUUUUACAAAGGUGAAAAAUAAAGACUUAAAUUAUAAAUUUUAUACCAUACAUUACAACCAAGAUCCCACUAUUGAUCCCUCCCUCCUUUCCUUUUUCAAUCUUUCACAUUAUAUAUAUCACCUCUCCAUAAACACAAAACACUCCUCUUUUUUCUCACCUUCAAAAGCCUGAACCAAUUACACAUGAAAUAAUAUAUAAUUUUGCAACCACCAAUAUGGCCAAAAACCAGAAACUAAUAGUUGAAGUUGUGGAUGCUCGCAGUCUUCUACCCAAAGACGGCCAUGGCACCUCCAGUCCUUACGUUACCAUUGACUUCUAUGGGCAGCGCAAACGCACAAAGACAGCUAUACGUGACCUCAACCCUACAUGGAAUGAGGUGCUUGAGUUCAACGUUGGUAAACCAUCCAAUGUGUUUGAUGACACUCUUGAGCUUGAUGUUUACCACGAUAAAAAUUAUGGGCCAACUAGAAGGAAUCUUCAUCUUGGAAAAAUCAGGUUCAGUUCCACCCAGUUUGUGAGGAAGGGCGAAGAGGCCUUGAUAUAUUACAGUCUGGAGAAAAAAUCCUUCUUUAGUUGGACUUGGGUACAGGGAGAAAUUGGGUUGAAGAUUUAUUACCAGGAUCAAGUGAUACCGCCGCCGCCGCCUCCACCACCUGCUCCAGCAGAUGAACCGAAGGCUGAUUCAAAUGCAGACUCACCACCACCAGCAGAACCAGUAACAGAAAAGCCACCAGAAUCCGACCCCAAACAACCGGAAGAGGGCGAAAAGUCAAAAGCGGCAGCGGAGGCCAUAAAAGAGCCUGAUAAAGAACCACCAGCUGAGCAGCCUGCAGCUGGUGAUGCCAAGCCUAAUGAAGAGUCACCAGCGGAAGCUGCUCCACCAUCUGCAGGUAAUGCACCAGCACCUAUUCAAGUUGAAAAACCACCA